rnacentral:rRNA from 1 species
UACGUAGGUGGCAAGCGUUGUUCGGAUUUACUGGGCGUAAAGGGCGCGUAGGCGGCCAGCGCAAGUCAGUUGUGAAAUCUCCGAGCUUAACUCGGAAAGGUCAACUGAUACUGCGCGGCUAGAGUGCAGAAGGGGCAACUGGAAUUCUCGGUGUAGCGGUGAAAUGCGUAGAUAUCGAGAGGAACACCUGCGGCGAAGGCGGGUUGCUGGGCUGACACUGACGCUGAUGCGCGAAAGCCAGGGGAGCGAACGGG